rnacentral:lncRNA from 1 species
CAAACGUAGAAGACUCGGCCAUGAUGGAGAUGAAAGCACCAAUGUAAUGGGAGAUAAUAUGUAAAGAGGAAAUUAUUAUUCACUGAAUCAAUUUCAACUCCCAGUGUAUGAACUUAGGAGGAAUACAAUAAAGAUGGAUGAAAUAUGAAUAAGAGGAGAGGACUCCAAGAGCAAGAGAGAGAAGAGAAAUUUCUUCACAAAUCAAUCCAUACCCACAUUCUCAAUCCUCUUAGCAUAUAUAGAUCCUUAUCUAACAAAUUCCCUCAACUG